rnacentral:rRNA from 1 species
GUGGGGAAUAUUGGACAAUGGGCGGAAGCCUGAUCCAGCCAUGCCGCGUGUGUGAAGAAGGCCUUUUGGUUGUAAAGCACUUUAAGCGAGGAGGAGGCUACCGAGAUUAAUACUCUUGGAUAGUGGACGUUACUCGCAGAAUAAGCACCGGCUAACUCUGUGCCAGCAGCCGCGGUAAUACAGAGGGUGCAAGCGUUAAUCGGAUUUACUGGGCGUAAAGCGCGCGUAGGUGGCCAAUUAAGUCAAAUGUGAAAUCCCCGAGCUUAACUUGGGAAUUGCAUUCGAUACUGGUUGGCUAGAGUAUGGGAGAGGAUGGUAGAAUUCCAGGUGUAGCGGUGAAAUGCGUAGAGAUCUGGAGGAAUACCGAUGGCGAAGGCAGCCAUCUGGCCUAAUACUGACACUGAGGUGCGAAAGCAUGGGGAGCAAACAGGAUUAGAAACCCUAGUAGUCC